GGAGACGUGAUAGUAUGCUGGCGAACGUAGGUUCGAGGCGUGGUAUGGACGGCAAUUUUUUUCUGGGUUAAAGACCACAGUUGGCAUUGGCAUCGUACAAAAUACACAGCGGGAGAUACAGAUUUAAAGGUAGAUGGUGAUGUCUGUUCAUGUUGCACGGCGGGGCUGUCGGUGUGUGGCUGGCGUGAGGGUGUUAAAGGUCGCGACCGGUUAUUGUCGCAAGCCGGGCGAUCCGUCGCGUCCGCCGGUCGCCAGGAGGAGGACAGGUAAUCUAGACGUUUGCCUAAUAAUGAUAAACAUUUUAUCCAAUGUAUACGCAAGCUUAGCAAUAAUUUCCAAAUCGUCUGGGUAUCACCAGUACAAAUCGGUUGCGUCACGGAAGUAAUAACGAUUCGCUCUGUAUUUGCUACACGAUGUUUACGAGAUCGAAUACGUUGUUUUAAUUUCUUUCUAAUAUUGAAAUGUUAUUGCCUAAUAGAUUUAUUAAAAUUAUAAUGUGAUGUUAAUUCUAUACGAAUAUUAUCCUAUAGAUGAAGUAGAUUGCAAUUCAUUAUUAUAUCUGGGUGUUUCCAUCGUCGAAGAUUUUCGUUGUCCUGUCUUUUUUUCUUAGUAUAUUGUCAUGUGCUUAAUUAAAUAUCAUUAAGAAAUGAAAUACUGAAUUGCUAAAGUAAAUAAUGCC
rnacentral:lncRNA from 1 species